GACGAACGCUGGAGGCGUGCUUAACACAUGCAAGUCGAACGAUGAAAUGGAGCUUGCUCCAUGGAUUAGUGGCGAACGGGUGAGUAACACGUGAAUAACCUGCCCUUAAUUUUGGAAUAACCCAGGGAAACCUGGGCUAAUACCGGAUAAGUAAACCUGUGGCAUCACAUGGUUUUGGAAAGUUUUUCGAUUAAGGAUGGAUUCGCGGCCUAUUAGCUUGUUGGUGAGGUAAUGGCUCACCAAGGCGACGACGGGUAGCCGGCCUGAGAGGGUGAACGGCCACACUGGGACUGAGACACGGCCCAGACUCCUACGGGAGGCAGCAGUGGGGAAUAUUGCGCAAUGGACGAAAGUCUGACGCAGCGACGCCUCGUGAGGGACGAAGGUCUUCGGAUUGUAAACCUCUUUCAGCAGGGACGAAGCGAGAGUGACGGUACCUGCAGAAGAAGCACCGGCUAACUAUGUGCCAGCAGCCGCCGUAA
rnacentral:rRNA from 1 species